CUCAAAGGUUGGCUCAGAUUGGUUGGAAAUCAAUCGUAGAGUGUAAAGGUAAAAGCCAGCUUGACUGCGAGAGCUACAACUCGAGCAGGUAGGAAACUAGGACUUAGUGAUCCGGUGGUACCGCAUGGAAGGGCCAUCGCUCAACGGAUAAAAGCUACCCUGGGGAUAACAGGCUUAUCUCCCCCAAGAGUUCACAUCGACGGGGAGGUUUGGCACCUCGAUGUCGGCUCGUCGCAUCCUGGGGCUGUAGUCGGUCCCAAGGGUUGGGC
rnacentral:rRNA from 1 species